rnacentral:rRNA from 1 species
CCCUUAGAUGUUCUGGGCCGCACGCGCGCUACACUGUUCGACGCAGCGAGUCUUAACCUUGACCGAAAGGUUUGGGUAAUCUUCAGCAAAGUCGAACGUGAUGGGGAUCGAUCAUUGCAAUUAUUGAUCGUGAACGAGGAAUUCCUAGUAAGUGCAAGUCAUCAGCUUGCGCUGAUUACGUCCCUGCCCUUUGUACACACCGCCCGUCGCUACUACCGAUUGAAUGGUUUAGUGAGAUCUCUGGAUUGACGCUGGCUAGGGGGCGACCCUUGGCCAGGCUGUCGAGAAACUGCUCAAACUUGAUCAUUUAGAGGAAGUAGAAGUCGUAACA